AGUUAUCUGUUUGUCUAAAACUGAGGGGGCAAAGUUCUAAUAUGGAAAUGAUUUUUUGUCUUGUUUCACAGGAAAACAAUUUCUUCCUAUCUUUAAUGGGAAACUCUUCUAGAAAUUACAAGGGCAGAAUUCAAGGCUAUGCACUGCAGAGAUGAACAGGACAAAAAAAAAAAAAAGGACUGUGUAGCAGGUCUGAGCAAGUCUACAUUUUACAAAAUCCAUCUAUACUGAGUUAUAAUGAGCUAUCAAUGCUCUUCGGCAGAUUAUUCAAGAACAUUUUCAGAGACUUAAACUUAGAAGAACAUAUUUCCCUUCGAAGAAAAACUAAGAAGGACAGCAUUCUUCCAGAAGAUCAGCAUCCCUGCAAGUCUUGGGCACAGAGUGGAUGUGUGGGCUGCUUGGUAGCAGAGUCAGGAGAAGGAAAAGGAGAUGGUAAGGAUCAGUUGUAUGCUUCAUUUGAGCACAAAAUGACACAGGAGUUCUUUCUGCUCUGCCUCUAGUGAGCACAAAAAGGUAAGACAUCCUCUUUAUUUUAUUAUUUUAUUUGUUUACAUUUCAAAUGUUGUCCCACUUCCGGUCUCCCCUCCAUGAACACCCCAUCCCAUUUCCCUCCCCUUUGGCUCUAAGAGGGUGCUCCCGUACCCACCCCCACACUUCUACCUCACCCCUUUAGUAUUCCUCUUCUAUAAGACGUCCAGCAAACACAGGACCAAGUGCCUUCUCUCCCACUGAUGGCAGAUGAGUCAGAACUCUGUUACAUAUAUAUCGGGAGCCAUGGAUUCACCCAUGUCUACUCUUUGAUUGGGACUUUAGUUUCUGGAAACUCUGAGGAGUCAAGUUAAUUAAUACUGUUGUUCUUCCUGUGGGGUUAUAAUCCCUUUCAGCUCCUUCAGCUCUUCUCCUAAUUCUUUGAUUUGAGGUCCAUAGGCUCAGUCAAAUGUAACUAUGUGCAUCUGUGUUUGUCAAGUGCUG
rnacentral:lncRNA from 1 species